UACGGAGGGUGCGAGCGUUAAUCGGAAUUACUGGGCGUAAAGCGCACGCAGGCGGUUUGUUAAGCUAGAUGUGAAAGCCCCGGGCUCAACCUGGGAUGGUCAUUUAGAACUGGCAGACUAGAGUCUUGGAGAGGGGAGUGGAAUUCCAGGUGUAGCGGUGAAAUGCGUAGAUAUCUGGAGGAACAUCAGUGGCGAAGGCGACUCCCUGGCCAAAGACUGACGCUCAUGUGCGAAAGUGUGGGUAGUGAACAGG
rnacentral:rRNA from 1 species